CCUUCUGAUUGUAGGAAGUGAAGUGCAGGGAAAUGACAUAUUCAAAGAAGCUGCCGUUAACACUUUGUAGUUCCUUUAUGCAUUAACUCUUGAUCAUCAGUGUAAAGUAAAACAUUCCUUGGCUCAGUGCAAACAGGACCAUGAGGAAUGUAUUCAGCUGUCUUAUUCUGGGUCUUGGGCUUGUCAUGUACUGUGGAGAUGGAAAAAGUAAAGAAAUAACGAUCCCACCCCAACUUGUGCCAGCAAAUUUCAGUGAAAAGAGUAUGUUAUGUGGUGACAAUGUUAAACGUCGAGGGAUCUCCAUGUGCUCCUGUGAAAAAGGAUACCAGAGGAUAUUUAGGAAUGUAAUGUAUGGAAUGCCUGAAACCAGUUGUGAAAGAAUUUCCGGUCACCCACCGAGAAACAUACCAUGGGAGAAUUACAAUGAAAAAAUGUGUUUAAAUACAACAAAAGCAGAUAAUGCAAAUGAUGCCAGAAACUUCUACUGUGGACUCAUAAAUGACACCAUGGAAUCUCCCUUUGGUAACAACAAUUCCUUAGAAGUAAGACUUCUUAAGAAUGUCAAACAUUUGACCACAACUUCUCCUUCUUGAGAAUCC